rnacentral:rRNA from 1 species
CUAUACAUGACUCUGCGCAUAUCAAUAAGCGGAGGAAAAGAAACUAACAAGGAUUCCCUUAGUAACGGCGAGUGAAGCGGGAAGAGCUCAAAUUUGAAAUCUUCAAGGUUUUACCUUGACGAAUUGUAGUUUAAAGAAGUGUUUUCUGCUGAAGUUUUGGUAAAAGUUCUUUGGAAUAGGACAUCAUAGAGGGUGAGAAUCCCGUAUUUGACCAUUAUUUUCAGCUUUGUGAUACACUUUCAAAGAGUCGGAUUGUUUGGGAAUGCAGUCCAAAAUGGGUGGUAAAUUUCAUCUAAAGCUAAAUAUUGGCGGAGACCGAUAGCGAACAAGUACCGUGAGGGAAAGAUGAAAAGAACUUUGAAAAGAGAGUUAAACAGUACGUGAAAUUGUCAAAAGGGAAGCGUUUGACACCAGUGUUGUUUUUCUGAAAAUCAAUUAAAGAACUGUUUAUGCUAAGUUGUUUAGACUUUAUCAGCUAACUGUUUAGUUUUGAGCUUUUCUUUAAUGCACUUUUCAGUUAACAAGUCAACAUCAAUUUCUUUUGCUGUAAAAAAGCUUGAGGAAGGUGGCUUGAGAUUCGUCUUAAGUGUUUAUAGCCUCUUGCCUAUGCAGUCGGAGAGAUUGAGGUCUGCAGCGUAGAUCCUUCGGGGCUAAAUGCAUUUGUGCUAAGUUAUAGCAUUUUAUAGACAACUUGUUGACUAUGAUUUGUCUUGUAGCUUACUCGCUUAUGUUAUUUUACCUACGCUUAGGAUGUUGACAGCAGUAUAGACUGU